CUCUUACUGGUGAUAAGUGAUAUCAAAUAAUAGACUAGAUAAUAAACUAGUAGAACUGUUGUCUUUAUUUCUGAAAUACAAAGUAAUGGAUAAUCUGGAUCUAUCAUCCUUAAAGGUUAACAACUUCCUAGGGUUAACAGUUCUGUACAAUUAAGAAACAUCCUCCCAGUUCUUCCACAAGGUCCAUGCUCUCAUCUUGAGAGCUGAGACAAGUUCUCAAUUGCCAUUCCAAUUUAUUUUGUGCAGCAAAACUGAUCUUUUUAGCAACACAUCAGGAAUUUUUUUUUUAAAGUGAAUAAAGGGACACCUAUCCCCAUCUCAUUUGGGCACAGACACAAAGAAAAAUAACACUGAGACAUGCAUGGAGGUGAGCUUGAGUAUUCCAACCGCACUAUUCCAUCUGGGGUCUACCAGGCAGGGUCAGAGAGGAUCCAGGAGCUGAAGACAGAUCUCACUAACUCCUAGGGAUGGAUUUCAGUGACCCUGGUCCCUGUUCUGCUGGGUGAGGCUAAACAGCGCGAGGACAAAGCUGCCUUCACCCCUGUGACGGGGCAGGAGCUUCGCCAUUCAUCAGUGCACGGGGUCUGGCACAAAAGCGUGUUUGGGGGUUGUCACUUUCCAUUCACCUGCCAGGAACAUUAUUCUCCCUCCCAGGGUACUAAGGUGACCAGACUGCAAGUGUGAAAAGUAGGGACGGGGGUGGGGGGUAAUAAGAGCCUAUAUAAGAAAAAGACCCCAAAAUCGGGACAUCUGCUCACCCUACUCCCAUCCCCCUAGCACCAAGUUUUGUUGCUCCUGGCGCAGGGUGAGGGACCCUGGGUGCGUGUGGAAGACCCGGGCAGUUACCAGCCACACAACGGGGUAGGGGACACUGGCGCCUCCCGACCCAGCCAAAGAGCCAGAGGCGCUGACCCCCCAUCGCCACGUAGCUCGAGGGGACAACCCACGGGCACGCGGGGCAGCGCCGCCUGGGCACCUGCGCUCAGCCCGUCCCGUCUCCAGGGUGGCGCGUACCGUAUCGCUGGCUGGCGCGGGGUGCGAGGGCAGGGCUGCCAGGUGCCUGCGCGCAGCCGCCGGCUCUGCUCUGUGUGCCCCGCAGCCCCGGCCCGCUCUCCCGGAGACUGGGGGCUCCCCCUGCCUGGGCACCCUGGCUUGGUCCCUGGGCGGCAGCACACGACGCAGCUCUUCCCGGACCGGUGCCAGGCGGGAUUGGGAACCAGGGGCUUCCGCCACCUUCCCUGGGAACCGCACCCGCCUCGCCCCUCAGCACCCCCCGUCUCCGGCUCAAAGCGGAAGUAGAAGACAUAUCUCUGUCAACGACACCGGAAGUGGCGGCCUUCUCCUCACGGCGCCUGUGGCCGCCGCCAUAUUGGAUCACGGAGCCGCAGCGGAGAUAAUCAGUUUCAAAAGGACCUUGAUAUAUCUGCUUCCCUAG
rnacentral:lncRNA from 1 species